rnacentral:tRNA from 1 species
GGGCGCAUAGCUCAGUGGUAGAGCGCGUCUCUGAUAAAGACGAGGCCUUUGGUUCGAUCCCAAAUGUGCCCA